GGGCUGUGUUCCUGGCUGGCUGGGCUGGGCGUCCAGGCCCAGCGUCCACCGAGUGCCCUAUGGUGACAUGGGCCUCACUCCUGCUGCUGCCUGGCCUUUCCUCCAGGACAUCUGCUCUGGCACCCAUCUUCGGAAACUCAUCUUCGGGAGAGGAUGCAAUGCCUACACCCCAGAGGAUGCAUGAGGACCCUCAGAGCUCCCGGUAUGACACAGGACCACGUGCCUUCAUGGACCAUGGACAGAACAUUUAUCUGUGACCCUCCUCCUGCAAGCCCGGAAGCCCACGUGACGGGCGUGCAUCUGUGGAGUGGGUCCGCUCCCACUGUGUUUGACAGUUGCGUGGUUGUCGUGACUCUGGCCGAUAAACGGACCACAGCAGUGGGCAGCACCACGCCGCCUUCUGAGAGGAGAACACAGCUCUCCCCACCGUUCCAGCCACAGUGGGUUUGGAAGGACAGGGCCUUCCUCGCCUGCCCAUAA
rnacentral:lncRNA from 1 species